AUUAAGCCAUGCAUGUCUAAGUACGGCUCUAGUACGGUGAAACUGCGAAUGGCUCAUUAAAUCAGUUUUGGUUCAUUUGAUCGUAAAAAUUUACAUGGAUAACUGUUGUAAUUCAAGAGCUAAUACAUGCUAAGAGCGUCACUCUAUGAGUGACGUGCUUUUAUCAGAUCAAAACCAAUCACCUUCGGGUGUUCCAUUGUGGCGAGUCUGGAUAAUUUAGCUGAUCGCAUGGUCUCGAACCGGCGAUGGAUCAUUCAAGUGUCUGACCUAUCAACUGUCGAUGGUAGCGUAUUGGUCUACCAUGGUUGUAACGGGUAACGGAGAAUUAGGGUUUGGUUCCGGAGAGGGAGCCUGAGAAACGGCUACCACAUCUAAGGAAGGCAGCAGGCGCGCAAAUUACCCAUUCCCGACUCGGGGAGGUAGUGACGAAAAAUAACAAUUCAAGACUCUUAACGAGGCCUUGAAGUUGGAAUGAGUACACUUUAAAAUUUUUAACGAGUAUCUAUUGGAGGG
rnacentral:rRNA from 1 species